UCAUGUUAUGGUCAAAUCGACACAUCUCUACAGGUCAGAAGUGGUGAAGAUUGUCGUGCGCACUACCGGGAGUGCUGACGCAAAUGUUCCUUAUGCUGCAACAAUCGUUUACUACAGCCUUGGUGCGAUUGAUGGCCAGCACUUUUUAUUGACAAGA